AAUCAGUGUGUGUGUUAGUGGAAGCGUCUGGAAAGGCGCGCGAUACAGGGUGACAGCCCCGUACACAAAAAUGCACAUAUUGUGAGCUCGAUGAGUAGGGCGGGACACGUGGUAUCCUGUCUGAAUAUGGGGGGACCAUCCUCCAAGGCUAAAUACUCCUGACUGACCGAUAGUGAACCAGUACCGUGAGGGAAAGGCGAAAAGAACCCCGGCGAGGGGAGUGAAAAAGAACCUGAAACCGUGUACGUACAAGCAGUGGGAGCAUGCUUAGGCGUGUGACUGCGUACCUUUUGUAUAAUGGGUCAGCGACUUAUAUUCUGUAGCAAGGUUAACCGAAUAGGGGAGCCGAAGGGAAACCGAGUCUUAACUGGGCGUUAAGUUGCAGGGUAUAGACCCGAAACCCGGUGAUCUAGCCAUGGGCAGGUUGAAGGUUGGGUAACACUAACUGGAGGACCGAACCGACUAAUGUUGAAAAAUUAGCGGAUGACUUGUGGCUGGGGGUGAAAGGCCAAUCAAACCGGGAGAUAGCUGGUUCUCCCCGAAAGCU
rnacentral:rRNA from 1 species